rnacentral:rRNA from 1 species
CCUAAGGUGACUGAGGAGGGACAUUA